AACGAACGCUGGCGGCAUGCCUAACACAUGCAAGUCGAACGAGACCUUCGGGUCUAGUGGCGCACGGGUGCGUAACGCGUGGGAAUCUGCCCUUGGGUUCGGAAUAACAGUGAGAAAUUACUGCUAAUACCGGAUGAUGUCUUCGGACCAAAGAUUUAUCGCCCAGGGAUGAGCCCGCGUAGGAUUAGCUAGUUGGUGGGGUAAUGGCCUACCAAGGCGACGAUCCUUAGCUGGUCUGAGAGGAUGAUCAGCCACACUGGGACUGAGACACGGCCCAGACUCCUACGGGGGGCAGCAGUGGGGAAUAUUGGACAAUGGGCGCAAGCCUGAUCCAGCAAUGCCGCGUGAGUGAUGAAGGCCUUAGGGUUGUAAAGCUCUUUUACCCGGGAUGAUAAUGACAGUACCGGGAGAAUAAGCUCCGGCUAACUCCGUG
rnacentral:rRNA from 1 species